rnacentral:rRNA from 1 species
GCCGGGACCACCCGGUAAGGCUAAAUACUCCCAAGAGACCGAUAGUGAACCAGUACCGUGAGGGAAAGGUGAAAAGAACCCCGAACAGGGGAGUGAAAUAGAACCUGAAACCAUACGCUUACAACCUGUCGGAGCGGCUUCGUGCCGUGACGGCGUGCCUAUUGAAUAAUGAGCCUACGAGUUACUAAUCACUGGCAAGGUUAAGUGCAUGCAUGCACGGAGCCGAAGCGAAAGCGAGUCUGAAUAGGGCGUUUAGUCAGUGGUUGUAGACGCGAAACCUUGCGAUCUACCCUUGAGCAGGUUGAAGGUUGGGUAAAACCAACUGGAGGACCGAACGAAUAAGCGUUGAAAAGCUUCUCGAUGACUUGAGGGUAGGGGUGAAAGGCUAAUCAAGCUGGGAAAUAGCUCGUACUCCCCGAAAUGCCUUUAGGGGCAGCGUUGUAAUUGAGAGUCUACUGGAGGUAGAGCUACUGAUUGGAUGCGGGGGCUUCACCGCCUACCAAAUCCUGACAAACUCCGAAUGCCAGUAGUAUGAUUUACAGCAGUGAGCGACCGGGUGCUAAUGUCCGGUUACGAGAGUGGAACAACACAGACCAGCAACUAAGGUCCCCAAGAGUAUACUAAGUUGAUCUAACGAUGUUUUGCUGCAGAGACAGCUAGGAUGUUAGCUUGGAAGCAGCUAUUCAUUCAAAGAGUGCGUAACAGCUCACUAGUCGAGCGGCAAAGCGUGGAUAAUAAACGGGCAUCAAGUAUACCACCGAAGUUCUGGGCACGAAAGUGCGGUAGGGGAGCAUUCCAUUCCGCGUUGAAGCCGAACCGUGAGGUUUGGUGGAGUGUAUGGAAAAGCAAAUGUAGGCAUGAGUAACGAUAAUGCGGGAGAGUAACCCGCACACCGCAAGACCAAGGUUUCCUGAUCAACGCUAAUCGGAUCAGGGUUAGUCGGGUCCUAAGGGUAAGCCGAACGGUGAUCUCGAUGGAUAAUCGGUUAAUAUUCCGAUACUGACAUAUACCUCGAUGGAGAGACGAAGGAACGUAAGUGCCGCCACCUGACGGAAUAGGUGGUUAAAGGGCUUAGGUAUAGGGACAGAUUAAGAGUUAGUCCUUGCUGAAACCUGACAGUACAGAGAGCCUACGGGCAAUUUGAUAGUGCACCCAAGUCGACUUCCGAGAAAAUCUUCUAAGUUAUAGUAUAUGUCACCCGUACCGUAAACCGACACAGGUGGUCGAGGAGAGUAUCCUAAGGUGCUCGAGUGAAUCACGGUUAAGGAACUAGGCAAAUUAACCCCGUAACUUCGGGAAAAGGGGUCCCAUCGCGAGGUGGGCGCAGCGAAGAGGUCCAGGCGACUGUUUAUCAAAAACACAGGGCUCUGCAAAUUCGAAAGAAGACGUAUAGGGCCUGACACCUGCCCGGUGCUGGAAGGUUAAGAGGGGAUGUCAUCGCAAGAGAAGCAUUGAAUCGAAGCCCCAGUAAACGGCGGCCGUAACUAUAACGGUCCUAAGGUAGCGAAAUUCCUUGUC